GAAAUGGCAUUGACCGUUGAUGCCUCUGCGAUGGGAAAAUUUGAGUUUGCAUAUCAGGAUGAUAGCUUCUGCGACAAGGUCCUCCGUUUGGAAGUCGUUGCACCUAGACCUGCUCCCAAACCCGCUGCCGCCAACCUUGAUGCCAGCCUUGGUCCUAACUCUAUCCUUCCGGUCUCCAGGAAGAGGGCACGAGUUGAGGAUGCUAGUUUAGAUGAAUCUUCAGUGACAUUAUGUAAUAAGGAGCUGGAAAAGGAGGGAAUCACUAAACAGACUGGCACAGAUCAUGAUCCAGAUGAUUCAGAUGACAACAAUGAAAAUGUGGACCCAAUAAUCAUCAUGACAAAAGAUAUUAAACUUAAAGUUUCAUCAAUCCUGCUGGCUUCGGAAAGCAUCUAUUUCCGUAAAGCUUUUCUCAAAUGGCAUGAGAGAAUCUGUGGAUCGUGUUGUCCAUCAACAAUUAUCUGAGGAAGAAUUGGAGCCUUUUGAAGAUAUUAUAAAUUUCAUUUACAAGGCCAAGUUCAGUAAAUUGGAUCCAAAGAGCUUGUUGAGCGUUGUCAUGGCUGCUGACAAAUUUGAGGUCAAUCAAGCAAUGAAACAGUCCAUAGAGUUUAUGCUUGAAUCGGAAUUGAAUCUUGAGGCAGCUGUACUUUAUCUGGAGUUUUCUCCAGCUAAUGCUACUGUAGCUCAAGCUUUGGCCCCAGUGAGAGCUGCUUCUGGUCGAUUUCUGACUCAAAUGUUCAAGAACGUGUUUAGCCAUAAGGACGAUCUUCUAGAGUUGCCUCUUUCAGCUAUCUUAGAAAUUUUCAGAAGCAGUGAUUUAAUUGUUCCAAAUGAAGAUUAUGUUUACCUUUUUCUGGUGGAUUGGGUCAAGAAAAAAUAUGAAGAUGAGCACAUGAGGUGUACCGUUUUUAGCAAAGCGUUGGUGUUCCUUAUUCGAUUUAUGCACAUGACGAUCGACCGCCUAAUGGCCUUCUCAAAUUGCCCUCUGAUGCCUAACAAAGUUGAUGUCAAGUCAAUUAUUUCUAGUGCAUUCUUGUUCAAGAUCAAUUGUUCGACAGUGAAGGUAGCUCAUUGGAAUUAUGCCCAGCGGAAUUAUCUGAUUAGGCCAGUCAUUUUGACGAACCUUCUGCCAUACAACGAAUUGUUGGCCUAUUUUGAUCUUCCUCUGGCCGACUUUGCCCGGAUGAGUAAUCCUGCGUGGAGGAGUACAUAUACUGAGGUUUUUGCCUAUGGCGGCUACAGACUCUUUGUGCAGUGCCAAACUACUAUAGAUGCGGUAUCCAAUGCUCCAAGUGCAUUUGGGAUGUUUUUGUGUGCUCAGAAGUCAACUCAGCCUGAAGUCUUGUCUGUGGCCUUCUCAGUAAGGCAAAAACCUGGUGGCGGCUAUGUGGACAAGUUUUCAUUUGACAGCCCCUUCCUUCCGGAUAACAAGUUUGGAGUUGCUGAUUUAUUAUUAACACCCUGGGCUGAGCUUCUUGAUGAGAACAACUUGUUUUUGAUCAAUGGUUGAGUUUAUUUUAGAGUCCGGGUGUCCAUCAGACAGCAAUAGGCUUUUCAGGCCUCCAGGAGAAGGAAGGCGGCCUGCACUUGUCUCUCUUAAAAACCCGUGUCCAGGAGAAGGUCUUCUACUGUGGAUGGAUAGUCUCCUUUUAGACCUGUCGUGUUAUCUGUUUUGUGGAUGGAUGGCUAGUCUUUUUUAGACCUCUCGUGUUAUCUGUUUUGUGGAUGGAUGGAUAGACUUUGUUUCAUUGUCUUGCAUGGGAUGGAAACUUCUUUUUUGAAUGCUGAUGAAUAUGUUCAGCAUGAACAAGCGGUGGUACUUUUGUUGAUUAGAUUGAAGACAUGAUGUUGAAAUCAAUGGCAGUAUGUAUGUUUUGAAGAGCAUCAUCUUCAAAUAGCAUGUUUUUUCCUUUUUGC
rnacentral:rRNA from 1 species